UAAGGAAUAUUGGACAAUGGAGGCAACUCUGAUCCAGCCAUGCCGCGUGAAGGAAUAAGGCCCUAUGGGUUGUAAACUUCUUUUAGACGGGACAAAACCCCUUUACGUGUAAAGGGUUGAUGGUACUGUCAGAAUAAGCAUCGGCUAACUUCGUGCCAGCAGCCGCGGUAAUACGAAGGAUGCAAGCGCUAUCCGGAAUUAGUGGGUUUAAAGGGUGCGUAGGCGGACUAAUAAGUCAGUGGUGAAAGCCUGCAGCUUAACUGCAGAAUUGCCUUUGAUACUGUUAGUCUUGAGUACAGUUGAGGUAGGCGGAAUGUGUCAUGUAGCGGUGAAAUGCUUAGAUAUGACACAGAACACCGAUUGCGAAGGCAGCUUGCUAAGCUGUAACUGACGCUGAGGCACGAAAGCGUGGGGAGCAAACA
rnacentral:rRNA from 1 species